UGGAGUGAUGUUUUCUUUGCUAUGAAUAAUAAUGGAAAAUUAAAAUUACUUGAAAUUGUUUGACACCAUCAUGCUCGAUUGUUUCAGUAUCCAUGAAGUUUUGGGAACGAUCACACAGCGGGAGUUAUACUGAAUGAUACCGAAGAUUGCACAACAAAAUCUGUUUGGUUUGCAUUAUCAUGGUUGGUUACGAGUUCUAGGUAGCUCUCAAUGGCAAUAUUCCUGAAUUAGUGUAAGGAGUUCUUUCAGCUUCAUAACAUUACAGGAGCAUUAUAUACAACGCAAUCUGUUCUUCCAACUGUACUCAUUUUAAUUGCAUGUAUAUAGCCAAGUGCUUUUGACAUGAAUGCAUGGAGAAUGUCAAUGUUUGCUUUGUUAUAAAAUUGGUAUUGAGAAUGUUUAUUAAUAUUAAAUGAAUGUUCCCCAA